CCCCUCUUAGAGUCAACCUGGAGAGUUUCCAGUCCUCUACCAGUCUCGGUUACGGGAGGGAGAGUCAAGCAGAGGCCUACCCGUUCCAUUCCUAGCUUGGGCGGUGGUUAGCAAGUGGAAGGCAAUCUGCUACAAGU
rnacentral:snoRNA from 2 species